rnacentral:rRNA from 1 species
ACGAACGCUGGCGGCGUGCUUAACACAUGCAAGUCGAGCGGUAAGGCCCUUUCGGGGGUACGACGAGCGGCGAACGGGUGAGUAACACGUGGGUGACCUGCCCUCAGCUCUGGGAUAAGCCUGGGAAACCGGGUCUAAUACUGGAUAUGACUCCAUGACGCAUGUUGUGGGGUGGAAAGCCUUGUGCGGCUGAGGAUGGGCCCGCGGCCUAUCAGCUUGUUGGUGGGGUGAGGCCUACCAAGGCGACGACGGGUAGCCGGCCUGAGAGGGCGACCGGCCACACUGGGACUGAGACACGGCCCAGACUCCUACGGGAGGCAGCAGUGGGGAAUCUUGCGCAAUGGGCGAAAGCCUGACGCAGCGACGCCGCGUGAGGGAUGACGGCCU